UACGUAGGGUGCAAGCGUUAAUCGGAAUUACUGGGCGUAAAGCGUGCGCAGGCGGUGCUGUAAGACAGAUGUGAAAUCCCCGGGCUCAACCUGGGAACUGCAUUUGUGACUGCAUCGCUGGAGUACGGCAGAGGGGGAUGGAAUUCCGCGUGUAGCAGUGAAAUGCGUAGAUAUGCGGAGGAACACCGAUGGCGAAGGCAAUCCCCUGGGCCUGUACUGACGCUCAUGCACGAAAGCGUGGGGAGCAAACAGG
rnacentral:rRNA from 1 species